GAUCAUGGCUCAGGAUGAACGCUGGCGGCGUGCUUAACACAUGCAAGUCGAGCGAAGCGCUUACGACAGAACCUUCGGGGGAAGAUGUAAGGAACUGAGCGGCGGACGGGUGAGUAACGCGUGGGUAACCUACCUCAUACAGGGGGAUAACAGUUGGAAACGGCUGCUAAUACCGCAUAAGCGCACAGUACCGCAUGGUACGGUGUGAAAAACUCCGGUGGUAUGAGAUGGACCCGCGUCUGAUUAG
rnacentral:rRNA from 1 species